UGGGGAAUAUUGCGCAAUGGGCGGAAGCCUGACGCAGCAACGCCGCGUGAGGGAUGACGGCCUUCGGGUUGUAAACCUCUUUCAGCGCUGACGAAGCACCAUGACGUUGUUGUGGGGUGACGGUAGGCGCAGAAGAAGCACCGGCUAACUACGUGCCAGCAGCCGCGGUAAUACGUAGGGUGCGAGCGUUGUCCGGAAUUAUUGGGCGUAAAGGGCUCGUAGGCGGUUUGUUACGUCUGCUGUGAAAGCCCGGGGCUUAACCCCGGGUCUGCAGUGGAUACGGGCAGGCUAGAGUCCGGCAGGGGAGACUGGAAUUCCUGGUGUAGCGGUGGAAUGCGCAGAUAUCAGGAGGAACACCGGUGGCGAAGGCGGGUCUCUGGGCCGGUACUGACGCUGAGGAGCGAAAGCGUGGGGAGCGAACAGG
rnacentral:rRNA from 1 species